rfam:Gossypium raimondii Chr02_contig_1491, whole genome shotgun sequence.
UAUUAAAAAUUCCAUCCAUUUGUAUUAUUAAAAACUAGUGUGGCUAACAGAAUAAUUAGACAGUGACACGUGCCAUGUCACAUGUACCUCAUGCUGAUGUACAAAAAUCAGUUUUUAAUAGCAAAAAUGGAUGGAAUUUUUAGCA